rnacentral:rRNA from 1 species
AUUGAACGCUGGCGGCAGGCCUAACACAUGCAAGUCGAGCGGAGCGGCGGACGGGUGAGUAAUGCCUAGGACUCUGCCUGGUAGUGGAGGAUAACGUCCGGAAACGGGCGCUAAUACCGCAUCCUCUCAGAUGAGCCUAGGUCGGAUUAGCUAGGUGGUGGGGGAAAGGCAUACCAAGGCCACGAUCCGUAACUGGUCUGAGAGGAUGAUCAGUCACACUGGAACUGAGACACGGUCCAGACUCCUACGGGAGGCAGCAGUGGGGAAUAUUGGACAAUGGGCGAAAGCCUGAUGCAGCCAUGCCGCGUGUGUGAAGAAGGUCUUCGGAUUGUAAAGCACUUUAAGUUGGGAGGCGUUACCAGCAGAAGAAGCACCGGCUAACUUCGUGCCAGCAGCCGCGGUAAUAC